AUACAUUUAAAUGCAGUGUACUCCAUAUUGUACUUGUUAUGAUCCUUGUUAAAUUUUUAGGGAAUGGAAGUUCUGGUGAACCAGGGCUUUAGGGAGACUUCAUUACAAUCCUUACUUAGCAUUGAUUGUGGAGAAGUGAGAAAUAUCAUUUCUAGUGAAGUCCCAAGUGUUCUUGAGUCAAAGCUCCAGGUUAAUUUGUUCUCUCAACAUGCUUGCUUAUAUUUUCCUUUAUUAAUCUUGUACACAAAAGAACUGUAUAUAGGCAGCCUCGUUUCACUAUUGUUCUAUACAUAGAAAUUGGAUGUGGACAGCAAGGACGCGAGGAUUGCAUAUUAUUUUGAUUUCAUUGUUGGGACAAGCACUAGAGGCCUUAUGACAUCCAUGCUUACUGCUCCAAAUGAUGAAAAACGACCUUCGUUUGCCGCAAAAGAUAUUCUGGAAAUAUGAUAAAGCUAAAGGACAUCGUAGGAAGAGAAGAAGUGAGAUCCUGAAAUGCAUUUUGCUUUAUCAGUGUUUUAAGCAAGUGGAAGUGGAGGUAAUUAAAGAUUCUAACAAGAGACUGAACUUUAUUUUCAUAUAUUCUUUCACUGGAUAUUUGUCCAUGUCUAAUUGGAUCUAUUAUUCUUGUAAUUCUUGUUUUCUAGUUUUUUUUAGAGGAAGUUUUUUUUCUUUUAAACGGUGAAAGCUAAUGAUAUCAGGUUUUCUAGUUUUCUGUACAUCACUUUUGGAACAUCAGAGACCUGGUCUGAGCGUAAUCAAAUGACUUUAAUCAAGCAUUGUGACAUAUGCUGGACGUCUGAGAUUAGAGUAUUCAGAAGUGGGUUGAAAAUUAGAAGCCACCAUACAUGUGGAGAUGAAUUGUUAUGUGGAAUCUCGAGACUGCUUUGAUUCAUUUGCUCAACCGGGUGGUCAUCCAUUUCAAGUCGGGAGUGCUGUCGACAGAAUGCUAUGUUCACAGGAUUAAUACUCUCAGUUACUGAAGCUUUAGAUCAAGCAAAUUCUCUAAGUGCUCACAAGCUUAUAUACAAUCAGUGAAAUAAAUUUGAAUUGAUAUUUGUGUUGCAAUGUAUCCCCUUUGAUAUAAAAUAUUUUUGGAUA